UGCGCACUGGGAGUCUGACUGACAGCACUGUCACACCUGGAACGGAUCAGACUGCUGCGCACUGGGAGUCUGGUUGGUGCAGUCAAGUCUGACCGGGCUGUGACCUGCAGUCAGGAAGGAUCGUUCACUGUCCUUCUGUUUUGUUUUUCAGGGUUUUGCAGGACAAGGCUGAUGUUGAUGAGCUGGAGGAGAUCCUGAAGCGGCUGGCCGAGGGGCAGUGAAGGGGGCCAAGGGAGAGGAGGAGGAAGGUGACGCCUGGCGAGACUCCAGCAGCUUGUGGGGGAGACCGGAGAGGAAUCACAGGAGCAGAACGCCCCCUGCUGGUGAUGCCGAGCGGGUGCACACCUGCCCUGACCAGCUCUCCUGUCUCCCAGGACACAGGAGAUAAACUGCAGAUAAACUGUGCGGAGACCUUACACAUAAUCGCUCCUGCUCAUUCGGGGUUCUGCGGGAUGGGGUGACCCCCUGACCCAGUGACAUCAGACAGGCCCCGGACCAGAGAGGUCUUCCGGCACAUCUGGCCCAGGAUGGAAGUCAGUAGCUCAUUGAUCCCAGGAUCUCUACCGAGCGUUUCCUGACAAGCUUCAGCAGUGCGGCUGGUUCCACACUCCCACCACCCUCUGCGUAAAGAAGGGUCUCCUGUCAGAGGGGGGUGGGGGAGAUCAGGAUGAUCUUCUCGCUGUGACCUGACCUGACCCCCCUGUGUUGUCUGGGUUCUCGAUUUAUCAGUUUGGUUUGGGUUCUUUCUGAAGGUGUGUGUGAGGGCUCGGAGUUUGGGAUUGGAGAUCUGUCGUUCUUUAAUAAAAUAAACCAAUCUGCUGUCC